CAGCCGCCGCGGGAAAACGGAGGGUGCAAGCGUUAAUCGGAAUUACUGGGCGUAAAGCGCACGCAGGCGGUCUGUCAAGUCAGAUGUGAAAUCCCCGGGCUUAACCUGGGAACUGCAUUUGAAACUGGCAGGCUAGAGUCUUGUAGAGGGGGGUAGAAUUCCAGGUGUAGCGGUGAAAUGCGUAGAGAUCUGGAGGAAUACCGAUGGCGAAGGCAGCCAUCUGGCCUAAUACUGACGCUGAGGUACGAAAGCAUGGGGAGCAAACAGGAUUAGAUACCCCGGUAGUCCCUGUCUCUUAUAC
rnacentral:rRNA from 1 species